rnacentral:misc_RNA from 1 species
UCUCCGUUGGUGAACCAGCGGAGGGAUCAUUACCGAGUUAUCAACUCCCAAACCCCUGUGAACAUACCUGAACGUUGCUUCGGCGGGACCGCCCCGGCGCCCUCGGCGUCCCGGAACCAGGCGCCCGCCGGAGGACCCAAACUCUUGUUUAAUUAUAGUGGCAUAUUCUGAGUCUCACAAGAUAAAUGAAUCAAAACUUUCAACAACGGAUCUCUUGGCUCUGGCAUUGAUGAAGAACGCAGC